GCGCGCGCGGGAAUGCCGGGAGCACCAGGGUCGUGGAAUUUGGUGUCUUUUCCGUGUGCUCCGAGUGUCUAAGGGAUCUGAGAGAAAAUGCUGGCUGCGGUUUUCCUAGAUACGAAGUUAAACACCCGGUCGAGCUCUCUACUGUUCCUCUCAUUUGAACUAUAUUUCAUGUGAUUUCCAAGUUUCCCCGUUGUUUUAAGUCUCACAACAUGUUGUAAGAAAUCCUAGGGCCACAGAACAGCCACAUAGGCACAUCCUAGAAUUGAAAUGAGGGGCACAGCACUAGAGGGAAUUGAAGGAGAUUCUGGAAGCCCGAUUCCCACUCACACAAGCCUAGGGGAGGUGUGACUGUACAGUGGAACUCGCGAUGUAGUUCCAGCAAUCUCCUGCUUUCACCUCCUGAGCACUGGGAUGGAAGGUAUGGGUCGGGUCUCUGGGUCUUGCUUAUGAGGUACUGGGGAUCAAACCAGAACUUCCUGUAGGCUGUGUAGUUAAGCUUAACUCCGGGUCAGCCGUCCUUGUGAAAAUGGAACUGGGCCCUUAACUUGUUUUGUUUAGUUUAUUCCUUUGCCAGAUGGCCAAAUGAACAGGCAGCGGGACAGGCUGAAAGAAACCUACAGCAAUACAUACCCCCCCACCAAACACACACACACACACACACACACACACACACACACACACACACACACACACACACACACACACAAAUUUACUCAUAUUUUAAAAUAAAAAGGUAUGUUAAAAGAUAACUGGUUUGAACACAAAAGUACAUUUAUUUUGAACACAAAGGUACAUUUAUUUUAGGGAGUAGUUUUUGCAUAGAUAAAACUGAUAACAUUAAAAUUAGGGGUUUUGUUUUGUUUUAUUCUUUGCCUCCACAGAAAUUAUAAUCUCUUGUGAAGUACAAAACACCGGGCAUUGGUGGCGCACGCCUUUAAACCCAGCACUCGGGAGGCAGAG